rnacentral:lncRNA from 1 species
AAUGCUUCACCCAAGGUGCCAUGUAAGCAAAGUAAAAGCAAAGAAAAUAACCUCAAACAUCCUCCAUUCUCAUGGUGAUUCACGGCUGGAACAAGCAAGGAAAAGACAAAAUUCAAAAGUGGAAACAUUCUCAGAGUGAAAGUGAGCCUCUUUUGUGCUUGUCCAAAUCGGGUAAAAACUUAAUGCACCUUCUCUCCUCCUUCCUAUCUCCAUUUUCGUUUUUCUUUCCCUACCAACACACCAUUCAUGUUUUCUUCCUCCAUUUUACUGAAACAUACACCAUAAAACUCAAGGAAUCCAAUUCAAAAUAAGUCAUGAACAAUAAACCCAAACAUAUGCUACUUCAACCUAACCAAAUCUUUCAUUUCUUCAAUUUCCCUUGCAAAAACGAAAAUGAUAACCAAGCAAUCAAUUCCAGAUUUGUCCAGCCACAAUAACAACACCAAAAUCUAGUCUCAUCCUUGUUUCAAACAUCAAAACCGAAAAUCAAGAAGAAAGAGUCCAAACCACAACACCCACACAUCAACUUAAGCUCUUUUCAACCCAAAACUCACAUAGAACUCCAUUUUUAUCAUC